rnacentral:rRNA from 1 species
ACGCUCGACACCUACGGUAGGCAGCAGUCGGGAAUAUUGCGCAAUGGAGGAAACUCUGACGCAGUGACGCCGCGUGCAGGAAGAAGGUUUUCGGAUUGUAAACUGCUUUAGACAGGGAAGAAAGAAAUGACAGUACCUGUAGAAUAAGCUCCGGCUAACUACGUGCAGNNGCGCGUAUNUGNGCGGNUGNAG